AGAGUUUGAUCAUGGCUCAGAUUGAACGCUGGCGGCAGGCCUAACACAUGCAAGUCGAGCGGUAGCACAGGGGAGCUUGCUCCCUGGGUGACAAGCGGCGGACGGGUGAGUAAUGUCUGGGAAACUGCCUGAUGGAGGGGGAUAACUACUGGAAACGGUAGCUAAUACCGCAUAACGUCGCAAGACCAAAGAGGGGGACCUUCGGGCCUCUUGCCAUCAGAUGUGCCCAGAUGGGAUUAGCUAGUAGGUGGGGUAAUGGCUCACCUAGGCGACGAUCCCUAGCUGGUCUGAGAGGAUGAUCAGCCACACUGGAACUGAGACACGGUCCAGACUCCUACGGGAGGCAGCAGUGGGGAAUAUUGCACAAUGGGCGCAAGCCUGAUGCAGCCAUGCCGCGUGUAUGAAGAUGCCUUCGGGUUGUAAAGUACUUUCAGCGAGGAGGAAGGCAUUAAGGUUAAUAACCUUGGUGAUUGACGUUACUCGCAGAAGAAGCACCGGCUAACUCCGUGCCAGCAGCCGCGGUAAUACGGAGGUUGCAAGCGUUAAUCGGAAUUACUGGGCGUAAAGCGCACGCAGGCGGUCUGUCAAGUCGGAUGUGAAAUCCCCUGGCUCAACCUGGGAACUGCAUUCGAAACUGGCAGGCUAGAGUCUUGUAGAGGGGGGUGGAAUUCCUAGUGUAGCGGUGAAAUGCGUAGAGAUUAGGAAGAACACCAGUGGCGAAGGCGACUCUCUGGACUGUAACUGACGCUGAGGCUCGAA
rnacentral:rRNA from 1 species